rnacentral:rRNA from 1 species
UACGGGGGGGGCAAGCGUUGUUCGGAUUUACUGGGCGUAAAGGGCGCGUAGGCGGUCAGCACAAGUCAGUUGUGAAAUCUCCGGGCUUAACUCGGAACGGCCAAGUGAUACUGUCGUGCUAGAGUGCAGAAGGGCAAUCGGAAUUCUUGGUGUAGCGGUGAAAUGCGUAGAUAUCAAGAGGAACACCUGAGGUGAAGACGGGUUGCUGGGCUGACACUGACGCUGAGGCGCGAAAGCUAGGGAGCAAACGGG